rnacentral:rRNA from 1 species
AUAUUAUUUUAAUAGGAAAGAUUUAAAUAAAGAGAUAAUUUAGAAUAGGGGUAAGAAUAGUAAAGAAAUAAACUGUAAAGGUAAGUAGUUAAAAUAUUAAUAGUAAGAAUUUUACCUUUUGUAUCAGGGGGCUUCAAUAAAAUUUUAUUAUUAAAAUUUCUUGAAAUUUUUUAAUCUAUUUAAAUAAGGGGGUACAUAUUAAAUAAUUUACUUAAAUUUUUAAAUAGGAAUGAAAUUUUUCAUAAAAAAAGAUAUCUAGUUAUUAUAAAAAGAUUGUAUAUUAAUUGUUAAUAAUAGAAAUUCUAAAUUUGAUUAAUAAAAAUUUAAUAAAGGAUAAGCUUUAUUAAACUAGUAUAUAAGAGUUUAGUUUAAAUAAGGGGCUUAAAGUUAGCUUUUUUUGUAAAAAAGAUAUUAGGUAGAGUUUAAAGAUAUUACUUUAAUUAUAAAAUUUAUAAGGUUUUAAUUAUAAAAAUAUGAUGGGGUUAUUAGUAUAAAAGAAAAGGGAGCUUAUUAUUAUGUAAUAAAUUUAAGUAUGAAUUCCUAAUUUAAAAAUUCGGCAAAUACAUUUUUCGACUGUUUAACAAAAACAUUUUUUCUGGGAUUAGUUAGAAAUAUAUUCUGCUCAAUGAAAAUAUUAAAUUGCCGUGGUAUUUUGACUAUGCGAAGGUAUUGAAAUAAGGCUUUAAUUGGGUGCUAAGAGAAUGGAGUAACGAUAAAAAGCUGUUUUGAAGGGGAUAUUAGAAUUUAAAUUUUAAGUGAAAAAGCUUAAAUAGAAUAGUGGGACAAGAAGACCCUAUGAAUCUUUAUUUAAAUUAAUAAAUUUAUAAAAAUUCUUUUUUUUAUUUUUUAAAUUUGGUUGGGGCGACAAAUUAAGACUAUGGAUCUUAAUUUAGUUCCUGUAUAUUGGAGAAAAAGAAAAGAUACUCUAGGGAUAACAGCGUUAUUAUUUUGGAUAGUUCAUAUUGAUAAAAUAGUUUGCGACCUCGAUGUUGAAUUAAUGAACCUAUUUAAUGUAGAAGUUAGAUAAGGUAGAUUGCUCAUCUAUUAAAUCAUUACAUGAUUUGAGUUCAGACCGGCGUAAGCCAGGUUGGUUUCUAUCUACUUAUUAGAAUUUUAUAAGGUAGUACGAAAGGACCCCUUAUUUUAAUUUAAUUAAAACAGUUAAUUAUUUUGUAUCAAUUUUAGACUGUAAUAUUAAAA